UACGUCCCUGCUCCUUGCACACACCGCCCGUCAAGCCAUGGAAGCUGGGUGUACCUAAAGUCGGUAACCGUAAGGAGCCGCCUAGGGUAAAACUAGUGACUGGGGCU
rnacentral:rRNA from 1 species